GGUGUAGGUGGCUAAGUAAGUCGGAUGUGAAAGCCCAGGGCUCAACCCUGGAAGUGCAUCCGAAACUGCAUAGCUUGAGUACUGGAGAGGAUAGUGGAAUUCCUGGUGUAGCGGUGAAAUGCGUAGAUAUCAGGAGGAACAUCGGUGGCGAAGGCGGCUAUCUGGCCAAGUACUGACACUCAGACCGAAGCGUGGGUAGCAAACA
rnacentral:rRNA from 1 species